GGAGGAGGUGGGGAGAGAAAACCCAAUUCACCCCCUUCCUUUUUAAUUCUUUCUCCUGGUGUGUCUGCUCCACCGCCCGAGCUAAUCCCCCAAAUCCGGUCUCCUAAGCCGCAGCUGCUUUCCUUCGCAGUGAUGAAUGGCUCGGGGAGGGAAGACACUCAAAACCCUUUCUCCUCAAGUAGACAGAGCAGGAGGAAGUUCAUCAGGACCUACCUUUUCCAGGAAGCCCUCCUGUUGGUGCUGAGACACUCCGCAAAGUGUGAAGGGAUCAAGGCAGUGUGGGCAAAGCAGAGAGAGACGUGGAGGCACAGCCCCGACAGCUCCCCAGAUCUUCUCCGGUGAGCAUCCCCCCAGCCUGGCCCAGGGCAUGCCCCAGUUCACUUUUGCCUGCUUCUGUGGCCUCCACGGCUUCUGCAAGAUGAAGAGGAAGAAGGAGGAAGUUCACAGACAGCGGGAAACGGCUGUGUGAGCUGGACCGGGGCCCCUUCUGCAGCCUCCAGCAGGUUCCAGGCCUGAGGGCGUGCCCACCUCUGGAAGGAUCGCCUGGCCUUCUGGAGACCGGGAGACUGAGAAGCCUCGGGGCAGCCCCAGGAGUGAAACUUCUUUCCUGCCCUCAGGGCUCCAAGCCCUCCACUCAGGGUGACUCUUCGGCUGAGGGAUGUACCGCCUUGGUGGGCUA
rnacentral:lncRNA from 1 species